UACCUAAUUAUGGUUUUAUCUUCCCUUUUUGGUGCCAGUCAUGCGAGCUGGUCUUUUUCUGCUUGGAUCUCCAGGUUGUGGGAAAACACUAAUGACAAUUUAUUUUGAGAUUGCCAUAUUCUUUCUACCUAAUUUGUGUUCUGUAUAAACUGUACAAUGUUUCCUUUUCUGGAACUUUAGGGGCCUGAUCAAUUGAACAAGUAUAUUGGCGAGAGCGAAUCAGAAGUAAGGAAAAUAUGAACCCGUGCAAGCACUAACUCACCAUACAUCCUAUUUUUUUGAGGUAAAACUAAGUAGUUGUGGCCGCUUUGGAUGAGAGAACCCAAUUCCUGGUAAAUUGGACACCAUCAAUGAGUUCGUCGAGUUUGAUUGAACUCUCACACUUUGAACAUGCUCUAUUUAAAGCAAGGCCAUCCCUGUCAUAACAGGUACAGUAAAAUGCCAACACAUAUAUGAUUGAUGUUAUGGCACUAUACUUGACUUUGGGGAUGACGAGAUCGACGGAAGCAACAGGAGCCAACGACUCAUGAAUUCAGCGGCGUCUGCACGCCCUACAUGCUGUUCCCGCCGAUGCUGCUGUUCAUGCCGUCCCCCCAGUGCCUAGCAUCACCGGCAACAAGUUCAGCGCUGUCCGACAAGGUGUCCUGCAGGGACAACCUCCGUCGACCUGUCAUCGAACUUCACUUGUGUGUCUUGUGUCGGGCGAGGGAGAGGGACGAUGUGCAUACGGGGUUGCAGUGCAGAGGUGCCGGUGGUUUCAAGUUGCAGGGCCGGGAGAAAUUUCACGGCAACCAGGAGUAA